rnacentral:rRNA from 1 species
GAGUUUGAUCCUGGCUCAGGAUGAACGCUAGCUGGAGGCUUAAUACAUGCAAGUCGAGCGGGAUUGGUAGCAAUACCAUGAGAGCGGCGCACGGGUGAGUAACGCGUACACGACCUACCUCUGACAGGGGGAUAGCCCUGGGAAACUGGGAUUAAUACCGCAUAUUAUUCUGAUUAAUAAAGGAUUGGAAUGAAAGUUCAGGCGGUCAGAGAUGGGUGUGCGUCUGAUUAGCUAGUUGGUAGGGUAAUGGCCUACCAAGGCGAUGAUCAGUAGGGGGCGUGAGAGCGUGAUCCCCCACACGGGUACUGAGACACGGACCCGACUCCUACGGGAGGCAGCAGUAAGGAUAUUGGACAAUGGCCGCAAGGCUGAUCCAGCCAUCCAGCGUGCAGGAAGAAGGCCCUAUGGGUUGUAAACUGCUUUUAUCAGGGAAGAAACCUUUGGAUUUACUCCGGAGCUGACGGUACCUGAAGAAUAAGCACCGGCUAACU